GUUCAAGGGUAUCUUUUCUUUUCCCUCAAUCUUCGUUUUUUUUUUUCUGUGAAAUUAGUUGUUCGUAAGAAAAAAAAUUCAUAAUUUCAUUAAAAAAAAAGAUGGCUAUUUCAGAAAAAAUCAUGAUCUCGAUAAUUACGCUGCCCGAUUUGUUGAUUUCACAUGUUGAUUAUUUUUUUUUUCAUCGGAUAUCGGAAAAACCCUUCAAAAAAGUUGAUUUUUUUAAACAUUAAGAUCAAUUGAUUAGGAAUGAUUUGUGUAUUUCUGAUAAUGAUAAUUGACCCCAAUUUUCAUGUAAUCAAAUUGGAUGGCUUCUUCUUCUUAGUGUUGUGGAUUAUUGUUAUGAAAUGUUGGUAUAAUAAUAAAAGCUGGGAAAAGUGUCGAUGAUUGAGCGCGGUUUCAGUUCUAAUUAUUAAUUUUGCAUUUGCACCAUGUUUAAUUGCUCUUAAAAUUGGAGAUUAUAUAUAUAAAAAAAACCUAGCUAUAUGUUUUUCUUUUCAGGUUCUUGUUGGUUUAUUUAUAUGCACAAACAAUUGAUAGUAAACAUAUACUCCUACGAAAUAACGGCAAGAAGCCAUAAUCCACUAAUAAAAACUUAACUACUUGAGUGUCUUUCAUUCCCUUGAUUUCAAGCGUUUAACAUUCUUGAUUGUGUUUCUCAGUAUUAUGAUAUUCCUGAUACAGAACGCUCAGAUGAUGAGAUCAACAUGCUUCGCCAGAUUGCCGUUGAUUGUCCAAGAACUGUACCUGAGGUUCCCUUCUUCCAGCAACCACGAGUUCAGAAAUCACUGGAGCUUAUUCUUUACGCAUGAUGAAUGAUGGUUGGGUUGGUUUGGUUUGGAAAAGGCACCUGAUGGAUCUUUCAAGAAGAAGAUUCUGGAUUAGGGGUAUGGCUUUUGUCUAGGGUUAAGCCAUCAGAGAUUUUUUUGAAAUCUAUAUCAAAGGAAGUUACUGGUGUUGAAGUCAUUUACCCAUCAAGGUUAUUAUGUUUUCAUCAAGGUCCGAUGAAUAAAUCAAUCUAAAUAGGAAAUUAGCCAAGGAAUUGGUUGAUAAAUGGAGCCGACCUUUAUUUAAUAAGAGUACUCGGUUUGAAGACAUGCAAAAUAGUGAGGAUGAUAGGGUUCCUUAAAAGCCAGCAAAUACAGCUGCAGGGAUGGCAUCUAGAGAUGGUGAUCUUGAUUUGAAUCUUUCACAGCCUAGGUCUGGAAAGUUGUCUACCAGACAAAUUACAUCAAGGCCAGAAGCAAAACCUUUGGAUUUUGUGAUCCGCCCCCAGUCUAAAAUUGAUCCUGGUGAAAUUAGAGCACAUGCAAAACAAUAUGAAUAAGAAAUUGCAGCAGUUGAGGGCUCCAAAAAAGAAGCAGCUUCAAGCUACAAAGCUGAGUGUGGAAUGUCGUGGUAUGGUCAAAUACUUAUGAAUGCGGCUAAUAUUGCUUUUUAGGGGAGUGUGGAUAUGUAUUUAUGGUCACUACUAUUUUAUAAGGAUGACUACAUCACCAUUGCUACUUUUUAGGAAGUCUUGAGCAUCCAAUCCUAUAUUUUUGCAUAACUCCUUCACUAAUCCACGCAUAUUUUCUCAUUGAUCAAAUACACCAAUCUUCUAAUUUUCUUUUCUAUUCAUCUCCUCUGCGUUUUGUCUAUCCUAUCUCAACACUGUCUUCUUCUAACCCUUCAUUUUCCAUAUGGCAUCCUAUCUCACAUAAUUAAAUGACUAAUGGGAAAUUUAACAUGGAUAUAAGGAUCAGUGAUAUAGCUUCUUGACAAAAAGCUCAAAAGCAUUUCCAAUCCUCCAUAUCAUGAAUAUUCUUGCAAGAAUGUCUUAUCAUGAGUGAAUACAUUAUCUUAUAGCGUCUCAAUAUGAAUUAAUCAAGUAACAAGGUCACCAAUUUCUUAAUAUAACUCACCUCUUUUAUGAUGUUGAAUAUUGAUUCAAAUCUAACAACUUUAGUUACCUGCUGCAAGGGUUUAAUAUGAGCUCUUACAAGUCAUUAAUUAUUUUGGAUUGGGUCCCUUUUAUAUUUUCUUUUCUACAUGGUGUGCUAUUGAAUUGUUUGAUCUUAUGAUUCUAGAUCCUAUGGUAAGGCUGCUAUAAAAUGCUAUGGAAGUGUUAAUUAUGAAGGAGAGUAAGCUUAUAUCUGAUAUGCAUUUGAAUUCAUCACUUAAUGUCAUGUUUAUGCUCUAUUAUGUUUUCUAUUUGCCUCUUUGAUCUGUCAUCACUUAAUGUCAUGUCUAUUAUGCUCUAUUAUCUUAUGUUUGCUUAGAACAUGUUUGUUAUUGUUAUAACCAUAGCUAUCACUAAUUAGGUGCAUACUACUCUUAGAUGGAAUGAAAGAUUUGGUGAAAUUUGUGAAGGCAGUAGCUUUAUUCAUUAAUUUUUUUGGACCGUGUCCCUUUUAAAAUUUCUUUUCUACAUAGCGUGCUAUUGAAUUGUUUGAUCUAUUGAUUGAUUCUGUGGCGUAUGGUAAGGCUGCUAUAAAAUGAUAUGGAAGUGUUACUUAUGAAGGAGAGUAAUCUCCCAGUGUGAUAAUGAAGUUUGCACUCUGAUUGGUCCAUGCUUCAAAUCUUUGCAUAAGCACUAUCCAGGCAUCAAGUGGCAUGAUUGUAGAUGCAAAUGCAACGCAAGAUGAACUGAUAUCUACUCCUACUAUUUUCAUCACCAAAUGGUUUUGGAGGAGUAUCUGCGCAUUUUGAUGUUCCUUUGUUCAGUGACGAACACACAGUCGGUUUCAAGGCCACGAUGACUUUUUAUACUUUAUCUCCAUGUUCUCUACAGCAGAUCAUCCCAACAAAUAAAGGAUGGAUUAGCUUGAAAGUUUUAAUUAUCUGUGUUAUAAGAGAGUAUUAUAGUAUGGGGAAAUAUUGGUGGUGUUUGAUAUAGGUUACCUGGUUAUGCCUUUUUUCCUUUUUAAAUGCUAUAGUUUUGUUUGGUCGGUGGAAUGAGAUUUUUAUUGAGCAUGACUUAAGUGGUGGGGAUUGAAACAUAAAUGAAAAACUUCUAUAUACACCAUGCAUGUUCUCAUUUAAACUAAUGAGGUGAUAAGUACAAGCAAUACUAAUGAGGUAAAUUUUUUGUCACAUAGCAGCAACGUGGUUCUAUUUGUAACAUUUGAACAUCAUAAUUGUCUUGGCAAAAUUAGCAGUUUUAUUGUGUGAAUUAUAUUAUUUUUUCUGACUUAUAUUGAAAUUUAUUUUUUAACAAUUAAGAUUAUUUUUUCUACUUGAUUGCUUGCUUUUUAGAUGUUAGUUAUUCUUGAUUUGAUUAUCCAUUUGAUUUUCUCCAUGACUAUGGAUAAACUAUGUUCAAUAUAGCUAUGUUUACAUUGUUGCACGUUGUGGAAUUGAAACCAAUGACAAAUCAUGCUGGUAAUAUUCAAUAUAGUUAUCUUUUUAUCUCAGAUAAAAUGAAUUUCCAAAU